rnacentral:rRNA from 1 species
AGAGUUUGAUCCUGGCUCACAGCGAACGCUGGCGGCGUGCCUAACACAUGCAAGUCGAGCGAGAAAGGUCCCUUCGGGGGCUGAGUAAAGCGGCGGACGGGUGAGUAACGCGUGGGUAACCUGCCCUCGAGUUGGGGAUAACCCCGGGAAACCGUGGCUAAUACCGGAUGAUGAUUGUGUUCCUGCGGGGACGCAGUGCAAAGCUGGCCUCUCCAUGGAAGCUGGCGCUCGAGGAGGGGCCCACGUCCUAUUAGCUUGUUGGUGGGGUAACGGCUCACCAAGGCUACGAUGGGUAGCCGGCCUGAGAGGGUGGUCGGCCACACUGGGACUGAGACACGGCCCAGACUCCUACGGGAGGCAGCAGUGGGGAAUUUUGCGUAAUGGGCGAAAGCCUGACGCAGCGACGCCGCGUGGAGGACGAAGGCCUUCGGGUCGUAAACUCCUGUCAGACGGGAAGAAAGGGCACCGGUCAAUACCCGGUGCUCCUGACUGUACCGCCAGAGGAAGCCCCGGCUAACUCCGUGCCAGCAGCCGCGGUAAUU